rnacentral:lncRNA from 1 species
GAGAACUUUUGUGUCGAACUCAGGGAUUGUAAACGCACCAAUCAGCACUCUGUCAAAAUGGACCAAUCAGCUCUCUGUAAAACAGACCAAUCGGCUCUCUGUAAAAUGGACCAAUCAGCAGGAUGUGGGUGGGGCCAGAUAAGAGAAUAAAAGCAGGCUGCUCCGCGCUAGCACUAGCAAGUUGCUAGAGUGGCCUGCCACAGUGUAAGUUUUGUUCUUUAGCUCUUUGCAAUAAAUCUUGCUACUGCCCACUCUUUGGGUUUACACUGCAUUUAUGAGCUGUAACACUCAUGGUGAAGAUUUACAGGUUCAGUCCUGAAGCCAGCGAGACAAAGAACCCACUGGGAAGAACAAACAACUCCAGACGCCCCAACUUAAGAGCUGUUAACACCCGAAGAUCUGCAGCUUCACUUUUGAGCCAGCGAGACCACGAACCCACCAGAAGGAAGAAACUCUGAACAGGCUGGAACGUCAGAAGGAACAAACUCAGGACAUGCCACCUUUAAGAACUGUAACACUCACUGUGAGGGUCUGCGGCUUCAUUCUUGAAGGCUGUGAGACCAAGAACCCACCAAUUUCGGACACACUGGGACCACCCUCGCUGACUGGAGUGUGAUAUCUCCAAGGAAGCUUAAUCCAGAUGUUUAUGAAGCUAGCAUGGCACUUCCUACAAAUGCAAGGAUUGUGAGUGACUCUGGGGCCUCUAUUGCAAAUUGUUCUAGGGAGAAAUUUGCCUGUCCUGGUAUCAAGCCCUGGCUGGAAGCCAGAGAGAGGGUUACAGAAAGAGAUUAAGGUGUCAGUGCUGGAGGCAGAAGAGGCUAUUGGGCAAUUUGUUUGCCUGGUUCUACCGCACACCUGAUUUACACCCAGCUUGUGAAAACCUUACCACAGGUAAAAUGCCAAUAGUUGUUCUACUAGAGUGGUCAACUUUUGACUGAUUUAUCUCCUACAUUUUUCAAACCUUA